UUCAAAGUUCUUCGGGAUAGAGAAUAAAUUACUUAGUGGCGGACGGGUGAGUAACGCGUGGGUAACCUGCCUCACACAGGGGGAUAACAGUUGGAAACGACUGCUAAUACCGCAUAAGACCACAGCACCGCAUGGUGCAGGGGUAAAAGAUUUAUCGGUGUGAGAUGGACCUGCGUCUGAUUAGAUAGUUGGUGGGGUAGAAGCCUACCAAGUCAACGAUCAGUAGCCGACCUGAGAGGGUGAUCGGCCACAUUGGGACUGAGACACGGCCCAAACUCCUACGGGAGGCAGCAGUGGGGAAUAUUGGACAAUGGGGGAAACCCUGAUCCAGCCACGCCGCGUGAGUUAAGAAGUAUUUCGGUAUGUAAAGCUCUAUCAGCAGGGAAGAAAAUGACGGUACCUGACUAAGAAGCCCCGGCUAACUACGUGCCAGCAGCCGCGGUAAUACGUAGGGGGCAAGCGUUAUCCGGAUUUACUGGGUGUAAAGGGAGCGUAGACGGCAUAGCAAGUCUGAAGUGAAAGCCCGGGCUCAACCCCGGAACUGCUUUGGAAACUGUUAAGCUAGAGUGUCGGAGAGGUAAGUGGAAUUCCCAGUGUAGCGGUGAAAUGCGUAGAUAUUGGGAGGAACACCGGUGGCGAAGGCGGCUUACUGGACGAUAACUGACGUUGAGGCUCGAAGGCGUGGGGAGCAAACAGGAUUAGAUACCCUGGUAGUCCACGCGGUAAACGAUGAAUACUAGGUGUCGGGAGGAUUAACCUUUCGGUGCCGUCGCAAACGCA
rnacentral:rRNA from 2 species